CUAAGAAUCUUCCGCAAUGGGCGAAAGCCUGACGGAGCGACGCCGCGUGGGUGAUGAAGGCCUAACGGUUGUAAAGCCCUUUUCUGCGUGAGGAAUAAAGACAGGAGGCAAUGCCUGUCUGAUGACGGUAGCGCAGGAAUAAGCCCCGGCCAAUUACGUGCCAGCAGCCGCGGUAACACGUAUGGGGCGAGCGUUGUUCGGAAUCAUUGGGCGUAAAGGGCGCGCAGGCGGCUAUGUAAGUCUGGUGUGAAAGACCGCAGCUCAACUGCGGGCACGCGCUGGAAACUAUGUAGCUUGAGUUCUGGAGGGGAAGCUGGAAUUCCAGGUGUAGGGGUGAAAUCUGUAGAUAUCUGGAAGAACAUCGGCGGCGAAGGCGAGCUUCUGGCCAUGAACUGACGCUGAGGCGCGAAAGCGUGGGGAGCGAACA
rnacentral:rRNA from 1 species